AGUGAGCGCUGGCGGUAGGCCUAACACAUGCAAGUCGAACGGCAGCACAGUAAGAGCUUGCUCUUACGGGUGGCGAGUGGCGGACGGGUGAGGAAUACAUCGGAAUCUACUUUUUCGUGGGGGAUAACGUAGGGAAACUUACGCUAAUACCGCAUACGACCUACGGGUGAAAGCAGGGGAUCUUCGGACCUUGCGCGAUUGAAUGGGCCGAUGUCGGAUUAGCUAGUUGGCGGGGUAAAGGCCCACCAAGGCGACGAUCCGUAGCUGGUCUGAGAGGAUGAUCAGCCACACUGGAACUGAGACACGGUCCAGACUCCUACGGGAGGCAGCAGUGGGGAAUAUUGGACAAUGGGCGCAAGCCUGAUCCAGCCAUACCGCGUGGGUGAAGAAGACCUUCGGGUUGUAAAGCCCUUUUGUUGGGAAAGAAAAGCAGCAGGUUAAUACCCCGCUGUUCUGACGGUACCCAAAGAAUAAGCACCGGCUAACUUCGUG
rnacentral:rRNA from 1 species